GAUGAACGCUGACAGAAUGCUUAACACAUGCAAGUCAACUUGAACUUCGGUUUGGGUGGCGGACGGGUGAGUAACGCGUAAAGAACUUGCCUCACAGCUAGGGACAACAUUUGGAAACGAAUGCUAAUACCUGAUAUUAUGAUUAUAUGGCAUCGUAUAAUUAUGAAAGCUAUAUGCGCUGUGAGAGAGCUUUGCGUCCCAUUAGCUAGUUGGAGAGGUAACAGCUCACCAAGGCGAUGAUGGGUAUCCGGCCUGAGAGGGUGAUCGGCCACAAGGGGACUAGGACACGGCCCUUACGCCGACGGGGGGCAGCAGUGGGGAAUAUUGGACAAUGGACCGAGAGUCUGAUCCAGCAAUUCUGUGUGCACGAUGAAGUUUUUCGGAAUGUAAAGUGCUUUCAGUUGGGAAGAAAAAAAUGACGUUACCAACAGAAGAAGUGACGGCUAAAUACGUG
rnacentral:rRNA from 1 species